AGAGUUUGAUCAUGGCUCAGAUUGAACGCUGGCGGCAGGCCUAACACAUGCAAGUCGAGCGGUAGAGAGAAGCUUGCUUCUCUUGAGAGCGGCGGACGGGUGAGUAAUGCCUAGGAAUCUGCCUGGUAGUGGGGGAUAACGUUCGGAAACGGACGCUAAUACCGCAUACGUCCUACGGGAGAAAGCAGGGGACCUUCGGGCCUUGCGCUAUCAGAUGAGCCUAGGUCGGAUUAGCUAGUUGGUGGGGUAAUGGCCCACCAAGGCGACGAUCCGUAACUGGUCUGAGAGGAUGAUCAGUCACACUGGAACUGAGACACGGUCCAGACUCCUACGGGAGGCAGCAGUGGGGAAUAUUGGACAAUGGGCGAAAGCCUGAUCCAGCCAUGCCGCGUGUGUGAAGAAGGUCUUCGGAUUGUAAAGCACUUUUGUCCGGAAAGAAAACGCCGUGGUUAAUACCCGUGGCGGAUGACGGUACCGGAAGAAUAAGCACCGGCUAACUACGUGCCAGCC
rnacentral:rRNA from 1 species